GAUGAACGCUGGCGGCGUGCCUAAUACAUGCAAGUAGAACGCUGAAGGAAGGAGCUUGCUCUUUCCGGAUGAGUUGCGAACGGGUGAGUAACGCGUAGGUAACCUGCCUGGUAGCGGGGGAUAACUAUUGGAAACGAUAGCUAAUACCGCAUAACAGUAGAUGUUGCAUGACAACUAUUUGAAAGGGGCAAUUGCUCCACUACCAGAUGGACCUGCGUUGUAUUAGCUAGUUGGUGAGGUAACGGCUCACCAAGGCGACGAUACAUAGCCGACCUGAGAGGGUGAUCGGCCACACUGGGACUGAGACACGGCCCAGACUCCUACGGGAGGCAGCAGUAGGGAAUCUUCGGCAAUGGACGGAAGUCUGACCGAGCAGCGCCGCGUGAGUGAAGAAGGGUUUCGGAUCGUAAAGCUCUGUUGUAAGAGAAGAACGAGUGUGAGAGUGGAAAGUUCACACUGUGACGGUAUCUUACCAGAAAGGGACGGCUAACUACGUG
rnacentral:rRNA from 1 species